UGAAAGGCGAAACGUAAUGUGAAUCGCAACUAACAGUGAAUCAUCGAAUCUUUGAACGCAGGCCGCACUCUCUGGCGUCUCAUUUCGGUGAAAUGCCAGGAAGUAUCUAUGUAUGAGUGCCAGUUAACAGACUUUUGGUUCAUGAAGGCAUAUUAAGCAUUUUUAAUAGAAAACUCAUGAAUACAACGCAUGUCUGAGUGACAUGUCACGUUGACUAUUAUUUUAGUCUGGCCUCAUAUAUGGAAGGUUACCCGCUGGAUUUAA
rnacentral:misc_RNA from 1 species